GACGAACGCUGGCGGCGUGCUUAACACAUGCCAGUCGAACGGAAAGGCCCUGCUUUUGUGGGGUGCUCGAGUGGCGAACGGGUGAGUAACACGUGAGUAACCUGCCCUUGACUUUGGGAUAACUUCAGGAAACUGGGGCUAAUACCGGAUAGGAGCUCCUGCUGCAUGGUGGGGGUUGGAAAGUUUCGGCGGUUGGGGAUGGACUCGCGGCUUAUCAGCUUGUUGGUGGGGUAGUGGCUUACCAAGGCUUUGACGUGUAGCCGGCCUGAGAGGGUGACCGGCCACAUUGGGACUGAGAUACGGCGCAGACUCCUACGGGAGGCAGCAGUGGGGAAUAUUGCACAAUGGGCGGAAGCCUGAUGCAGCAACGCCGCGUGCGGGAUGACGGCCUUCGGGUUGUAAACCGCUUUCGCCUGUGACGAAGCGUGAGUGACGGUAAUGGGUAAAGAAGCACCGGCUAACUACGUG
rnacentral:rRNA from 1 species